AGACAAGGAAAAGGACAUGGAGAAUGCAUGAUAUGAGAUACUCUUGCAUUCAACCUUCAUGAUAUGAAAUACUUUUGCUUUGGAUGGGUUGUUUGCAGGGGUAUCCCAGGGAAUGAGGAAUACAGUGUGACUCGAGAGGGUUCUUUGGGAAUGCAUUCUCGGAGAUGAAUAAGUGCUGAGAGGGUGUGCCUUUGCUGUGGAAGG
rnacentral:lncRNA from 1 species